GAGGAAGCUGAGCAGCUGUGGUAUUUGGAGCAAGUAUAAAUAGCUGCUUGGACAGAGCUCGGCCAAGCAGGGGUUUGUCGCUGCCGCGGCUCCGCACACAGGCCUGUCCUCGGCUGGCCACGGUGGCCCCUCCUGGGCAGGGAGCCGGGCGGUGGGCAGGCGGAGCGCCCCGGGAGCUCUGAGCCCACAGCCCUCGCCCUCGCCACAUCUCCGGAUGCUCUCCCGGCCAGCCAUGCUGCUGGGCGGCCUCCUCCUCGUCGUGGCCGCCGCCACUGUGGCCCAGCGGAGGGGGCAGGAGGCGGGCGGGCGCCGCCGGGCACACCGCGUCCAGCACGGCCAGUGCAGCUACACCUUCGUGCUGCCCGAGCCGGAGCCCUGCCCGCCGGAGCCAGAGGCCUUCGGGGGCUCCAACAGCCUGCAGAGGGACUCGCCGGCAGCUGCGCUGAACCUAGCCGACUGGCCGGCCCAGCGAGUGCGACAGCUGGAGAAGGUGCUGGAGAACAACACACAGUGGCUGCAGAAGCUAGAAAGGUACAUCCAGAUGAACUUGAGAUCAGAGCUGGCACAGGUCCAACAGCACAUGGUCCAGAACCAGACGGCCACCAUGCUGGAGCUAGGCACCAGCCUCUUGAACCAGACCACUGCCCAGACCCGCAAGCUGACUGACGUGGAGGCUCAGGUCCUGAACCAGACAUCCCGAAUGGAGAUCCAGCUGCUGGAGACCUCUCUGUCCACCAACAAGCUGGAGAAACAGCUACUACUGCAGGGCCAUGAGCUCCACAGGCUGCAGGGCCGCAACAGCGCGCUGGAGACACGGGUGCAGGCCCUGGAGACGCAGCAGCAGGCGGAGCUGGCUUCUCUCCGCGGCGAGAAGGAGCGGCUGCGGCGUCUGCUGGGCCGCCAGAGCGGCGCCCUCGCCGGUCUAGAGCGCAGCCUGCGCGCCGCCAGCGGCAACUCCAGUCUCGUGCAGCGGGAGCAGCGCCGGCUGCUGGAGUCGGUGCAGCGCCUCGUGCGCGUCGUGGCCCAGGGCCCCGCCUCUGUGAGAGCAGCUGAGCACGUGUUCCAGGACUGUGCAGAGAUCCAGCGCUUCGGGGCCAAUGCCAGUGGCAUCUACACCAUCCAUGUGGCCAAUAUGACGGAACCCAGGAAGGUGUUCUGUGACAUGGAGGCCAAUGGAGGCGGAUGGACUCUCAUCCAGCGCCGUGAGAAUGGCAGUGUGAAUUUCCAGCGGAACUGGAGAGAUUACAAACAGGGCUUCGGCGACCUGGCAGGGGAGCACUGGCUGGGCAAUGAGGUGGUGCACCAGCUCACCAGCAGGGCAGCCUACUCUCUGCGCGUGGAGCUGCAAGACUGGGAGGGCAACGAGGCCUAUGCCCAGUAUGAGCAUUUCCAGCUGGGCAGUGAGGGGCAGCUGUACAGGCUUUCUCUGAGUGGGUACAGCGGGUCAGCAGGGCGCCAGAGCAGCCUGGUCCUGCAAGGCACCAACUUCAGCACCCGUGACGCAGACAAUGACAACUGCCUCUGCAAGUGUGCCCAGAUGCUGUCUGGAGGGUGGUGGUUUGACGCCUGCGGCCUCUCCAAUCUCAACGGCAUCUACUACCCGGCUCGCCACCACGUGCGCAAGCUCAACGGCAUCCGCUGGCACUACUUCCAGGGCCCCAGCUACUCGCUGCGGGCCACUCGCAUGAUGCUGCGCCCUGUGGGCAUCUGAGAGGCAGCCGCGCCUAGAGGCUGGACCCGGGGGAAGAGUCGGGGCAAGCUGGACCCCAAACACAGGACACAGUGCCAGGGCCUUGUCCUGGAUCCCCUGAGGCCACCCUCCUUUCCUGCCCGGGAGUCAGAGGGUCCGCUGCCUCCCUGUUCCCCUCAAGUUGCGAAAUGGUGGCUCCAGCAGCCCUGGGCUCAGGUCCUCCCAGCUGAGCAUCCCUAAGACAGAGAGGUCCUCUGUCCCUGCGAUCCCAGCAAAGGCAUGAUUUUCUCCAGCUGGGACUGGUCCUCCUGUUCGCACCUCUGCACUUAUCACUGUGUGUCUGAUUGACCAGACCUGGGCCACCUGAUCACACCUGGAACGGGGGUGGGGUCAGUCCCACCCAAGUCACAUGGACUGGCUGUUUCUAGGCGCCAUUUCCAGACUGGCAAUCACUGUUCCUCCUUCCAUCUCUCUGACUCCCGUUUCCCUUCUCUCCAUCUCUGUCCCCUCUCCCAGCCUCCGUGCCCCCAAGGCCUGGCCCCAGGCUCCAGCUCACCUCGGGGUUGCCCCAAACUAUCAAGGACACAGCUGUGGCCUGUCCAGGGAUGUCAGACCCUGGUUCGCUGUCCUGGCUGUGUCCCUGGAGCAGAAUCCCUCGUCCUCUCUGACUGAGCCUCUGUUUCCCAUCCGUGCAAUCAGGACAGAGCAGCUGCUGACCUCUAUAAGCCCCCUGACGGCGAGGCUGAGCCACAGCGGCUGCAGACAAGACCAGCAGAAGGACUCCAGGCAGCACAAGGCCCCUGUGGGGGCAUGGCUGGUGUGGCCUUGGCCCUGGCUGGAUCUCCUCGAGGUCCCUACGCAUAGGAUCUGGCUUCUGGGAUACCUGACUCCGCAGGUUCCUAAGCAGAAUCCUAGUCACCGCUCCCUACACCAGACCGGCAUUCUCCCAAUUGUAGUGAUGAAGAAGUUAGAGCUCAGAGAGGAAAAGGGUUUCAUCCAAGGCAGCACAGCCAAUCACCACCUCCAGUGCACUGGCAUCUAUGAGCUGCCUCCCUUGUGCAGGCCUUUCUGGGGCAUCUUGGCACCAACCACAAAAAUACUGGAGUACGGUCCCCUCUACUUAUUUUAAGGACUGAAGGAAAUUUCUGGAAAGGUCUCCAAGACCAGUCUGCCUUUACCACUGGCACCUGAUCACAUUGUUCCUAAGGUCUCUGCGUGUCCCCGGCAGAAGCAGUUUCCACAAUGAGGGAGAAAGUCACUGUGCACACUCCAGAGCCAUGGCCGAGGUCAAAGGUGGCCCUUUGCAGGGAGUAGGGGACCAGCCAGCAUCAGAAUGGUCUUGCUGGCUGGGGGGGAUUUGACCCCAUUUUUCAGAUUUCCCUCCCCCUCAGUGUCUGUGGGAGCCUUCACCUCUCCCAUUUAAAGAUGCUUCCAAAAGCUAACAGCGUUGCCUUGGCAACAGCAGCAGCCUCAUCUUCCAAUGGGGCAGCACUUCAGAGAAUGGAGUCUGGUCCAGGCCGUGUCCAGCAUAAGUGUGUUACUUUCUUGUGUUAGAUGAACGUGGGGCUGCGCAGCAGAGGUUCUCGUGUGUCCGGAGGUCAGGGAAGUCCAAUACCCUUUAGCACCUGACACGUUCCUGCCCUACCCCGUGAGGACUCUCAGAGCCUCCCUUUCCCUGUCUGCACGCUGGGGAGCCUGGGGGCUGGUCCACAGGGAAAUUAGGCGGACCUGGAACAUUCACUCAUGCAGUCAUUCAUGCAUGCAUGCAUUUGUUCACAUAGCAAGUAUGUGUUGAGGAUCUGCCUGGGUCAAGGCCAGGCUGGGUGAUGGGAAUAGAGCAAAUAAGACAGUCUUAUGCUCACAGAACGCAGGCUAGAGAGAGAGGCUGGCCCAAAUCAGAAUUUUUUUUUUAGUUUGUAAAACUAAAUUGACAAAUUAAUAUAUUUCAAAUAAAGAAAGCAACCAGGAGGUAGAGACUGAUUACAGAGGGUCCAACUUCAGGUGAUCAGGGGAAGCCCUCUCUGAAGAGGUAAUACCUAAAUGGGGGACUGAUACAGUGAGAAAGAGGCAGCCAGGGAAGGGUAGGUUCAGUAGGUGGAACAGCAGCUACAAGGGGACCAGUAUGGCUGCAGCCAUCGUGAGCAAGGGGGAGAGGGGUUGGGACAGUGUGCCUGCCCAGCACCUACAUCAGAGAUCACUCCCCAUCCCAAUGCCUGCCAGGACUGAAUCCAGCCACCACUCCGCCCGAGUCAUUGUGCAGCAGAGGCAAAUUUCUACCCCUCUCUGGACCUCAGUUUCUCUGUAAAAUACAGGAGAGGGAGCACCUCUGUCUGAAAGUCAUCCACAUCCUGUUAUUGUAUAAAACUGAGUCAAGGGCUUUAUUGUGUGCACUGCCCUGCACUCGGUGCCAAUGGGGGAGUCAGAAGGAAGAAGAGAAAGUAAGGGACUUGCCCUCAGGCUGAAUGGGAAGUUGGGAGUAUCUCCGCCACGGGAUCAACCAGGAGGGCUUGGGUGGGAACACGGGGUGCUGUCUGCCUCCUCUGUGCUAGUCUACACACACUAACUCUGAAUCCUAAUGGGUUCUAGUAUUACCCCAUUUUACAAAUGUGGAAACAGAGGCUCAGAGAAGUCAAGUGCCUUGCCUACAGUCACACAGUGACUUAGGGUACAAGCUAAGCUGCUGUAGCAAGAGAACCCUCAAAUUCAGUGAGUUAAAUAUUUUUCUUCCCUGUAAGUCUGGAGCUGAGCAGUCCAAGGCUGGUGGGCACCUCUGCCAUCCUCAACCACAGCUUCCCUCUCUGGCCCGGGCAGUUGCUUUGGGGGCUCACCGCCCCCAAAUCUUUUCUUAGUAGGACUUAGCUUUCUUCCUUGUCGACCUCCUUGACGUGCUCCAGUGGCCUGGGCAGGGGAGGGACAGUGACAGGCCACUUUAAUCUGGGGAGACUGGAAACCUCCUGGAUGGCCGAGGUCUCUUCCCUCCGCCUCCACCUGCCCGUUGGUGUCUGGGACAGUCGUCAGGACCACAGCUAUCCAGGUCUGGCUGUGUCCACAAAUCAGAAGAGUGGACCAACCCUUUCCCUCUCUGGACCCCACUCUCCUCAUCUGUAAAAAGGGAGUGAGCAGCCCAGCUCUGCUUGCUUCACAGAGUUGCCAUGAGAUUCAAAUAAGAUGGUCCCUUCCUUCAUCUGUGAAGCAACUGUGCUAGGCACUGGGCACAUGACCAUGAACAAGACAGACCAACACUUGCCCUCAGGUGCUUGUAGUCUGGGGUGGGUAGAAAGAGACAGAAAUUCAAUACAAAUUAACCAAACCACCUAAAGUACAAUGAAUGUGAGAGGGGAAAUAUAUGGUGCUAUUGGAGCAAGGGUGCCAACUAGUUAGGGAAGGCAUCCUUCUAGGAUGAGGAGGAGUUGGGUGAAGAGGAAAAAGAGGGUUCCAGGCAGAGGUGACUGCACAUGCAAAGGCCCUGGGGCUGGCCCAGAGGAAAGCUUCAGAGCAUUCGGGAAGGGGAAGAAGCCAGAGGUCUGGUAAGGGACUGAGGUAGGCAGGCCCUGGUGGGCCAGACUGAAAAGAGGACACAGAAGAUAACAGUCUAAACAGCAGGAAGCCAGCGCUGUGGUGUCGCCCAGAGCCUACAGGCUUCCCCGUCCUCCAGUGUUAGUGUGUGACCGUGAGCAAGUUGCUUUCCCCCCUCAGAACCUGAGUUUUCACUCCCAGUGAAAUCGAGAUCAUGAUACCUAUCAUGCCAAGGCGUUUGAAGUUUAGAGAAAAUCUAUCUACUGUCCGUGAAUGACUUGUCCCAACACAAAAGACCACUCCAUAAAUGAUGUCCUAUUCUCAAUGCAGCCUGUGGCAUUUACAGGCUUUCCCGUUAUUUCUUGAACAUUUGUCACUGCUAAAGCUCACUAGCGGACAAGUGGGGCUGACCCCAAACGUUUGGGGGAAACUUUUAAACUGAUAGAAGCCAAGCCAUGCCUUUGUUCUUUUCUUGUCAUUUGAGAAAGGGCCCCAGGGUUACACAGGAACCUAGUUUGAGAACGAUAACCCAACAGAAACGUAAAAGAGCAUCUAACACCCCUGACAUCUGUGCAACAGGUUUGGAUGAGUAUAACAGAAGCCGAGGAGUAUAGAACGUAUUAGCCCCCAACUGGAAACGCCAAUAGGAAAAUGGGUAAAUAGUGGUAUAUUCAUACAUGGAAGGGAGUAUUCACUGGGAAGGGCACUAGGGCAGUUUGAGGGAAUGAGGACUGUUUCUUGACCCAUGUGAAGGUUACACACACAUGUUCAGUUUGUGAGAAUUCACCAGUCUGUGCCUUUGUGUGUGCAUUUUUGUCUCUGUAUGUUUCUCUAUAUGUACUUAGGUAUGUUGGGAGGGGAGAUUACACAUCCACAAGUACACUGUAGACACAAAGCUAUUUGGGGAGAAAAUAAGAGUGUAGAGAGGAAUUUGGCCACUGCUAACAAAAUUACUUAUGCAUUUACCCUUUGACACAGUAAUCCUCACUUCUAGGAAUCUGUCCUAAAUAUACAUAAUACAUGCACAAAGUUAUUCAUUGCAGCUUCAUUUGUAUUUACCAAAGAUGGGAAUCAAUGCAAAUGAAUAAACUAUGGUAAUUUAUUUCUGCAUAUCAAACUACACCAAUCUCAGGGGCAGAAAAAUAACAGCCGUGGACUUUAUUUCGCUGAGGGAUUCUGUAGGUCAAGAAUCCAGACUGGGUAUUGCAGGGAGGGCAUGUCUCAAUGCCAUGACAGCUGAGCUUCAGCUGGAAGACCCAGAUGGAUGGAGGUGUCCGGAAGUUGGGAUGAGGUUGGGGGAAUGCUGGAAGAGGUGGGGAUGGAAUCAUCUGGAGGCUUUGUUUCUGUCACCUGGGCUGGGAUGACUCCGAGUUGGGGCUUGGGGAGGACUGCUGACUGGAGCAUCCACAUAGGCCCUUUCCCCCAUGCCUUGGGCUUCCUCACAACAUGGCGGCUGGAUUCUGAGAGGAAGCAUCCUGACAGCAAGCAUUCCAAACAGGACCAGAACAUAAUUUGCAGGGCCCAGUGCAAAAUGAAAAUGUGGAGCCCAUGGCUCAAACCUUAGGAAAAUGUGUUUCUUCCUUUCUUCUACAAUCUCUCUCUCUCAACUUGUCAUGGUGUUUUUAUUUAUUUACUCAAUGUUGUUCUAAAAAUUUUUUUUAUUUAAAUUAUUAGCAUAAAUUUUACCGUUCAUCUUUAUAUUGUACAACGACAGUUUUGAA